rnacentral:rRNA from 1 species
CGGUGAGGCUGAUGUGUAGGCAAAUCCGCACAUCAUUAAGGCUGGGCUGUGAUGGGGAGCGAAAAUUGCAGUAGCGAAGGUCAUGAGUUCAGGCUGCCAAGAAAAGCCUCUAGCCAGGUGAAGGUGCCCGUACCGCAAACCGACACAGGUAGGCGAGCAGAGUAUGCUAAGGCGCUCGGAAGAACUCUCGUUAAGGAACUCGGCAAAAUGACCCCGUAACUUCGGGAGAAGGGGUGCCUCGGUAGGGUGAAUAGCCCGAGGGGGCCGCAGUGAAAAGGCCCAAGCGACUGUUUAGCAAAAACACAGGUCUGUGCGAAGCCGUAAGGCGAAGUAUACGGGCUGACGCCUGCCCGGUGCUGGAAGGUUAAGGGGAGUGGUUAGCCGCAAGGCGAAGCUAUGAACCGAAGCCCCAGUAAACGGCGGCCGUAACAAUAACGGUCCUAAGGUAGCGAAAUUCCUUGUCAGGUAAAUUCUGACCCGCACGAAUGGCGUAACGACUUGGGCGCUGUCUCAACGAGAGAUCCGGUGAAAUUUUAAUACCUGUGAAGAUGCAGGUUACCCGCGACAAGACGGAAAGACCCCAUGUAGCUUUACUGCAGCUUGAUAUUGGACUUUGGUACGAUCUGUACAGGAUAGGUGGGAGCCUUGGAAGCCGGAGCGCCAGCUUCGGUGGAGGCAUCGUUGGGAUACCACCCUGAUCGUAUCGGAGUUCUAACCUGGUACCGUGAUCCGGUACAGGGACCGUGUCAGGUGGGCAGUUUGACUGGGGCGGUCGCCUCCUAAAAUGUAACGGAGGCGCCCAAAGGUUCCCUCAGAAUGGUUGGAAAUCAUUCGUAGCGUGCAAAGGCAUAAGGGAGCUUGACUGCGAGACCUACAAGUCGAGCAGGGACGAAAGUCGGGCUUAGUGAUCCGGUGGUACCGCAUGGAAGGGCCAUCGCUCAACGGAUAAAAGCUACCCUGGGGAUAACAGGCUUAUCUCCCCCAAGAGUCCACAUCGACGGGGAGGUUUGGCACCUCGAUGUCGGCUCAUCGCAUCCUGGGGCUGAAGUAGGUCCCAAGGGUUGGGCUGUUCGCCCAUUAAAGCGGUACGCGAGCUGGUUUCAGAACGUCGUGAGACAGUUCGGUCCCUAUCUGUCGUGGGCGUAGGAAAUUUGAGAGGAGCAGUCCUUAGUACGAGAGGACCGGGAUGGACGCACCGCUGGUGUACCAGUUGUUCCGCCAGGAGCAUAGCUGGGUAGCUACGUGCGGACGGGAUAAGCGCUGAAAGCAUCUAAGCGUGAAGCCCCCCUCAAGAUGAGAUUUCCCAGUACGUAAGACCCCUGGAAGACGACCAGGUUGAUAGGUUCGAGGUGGAAGCGCAGCAAUGUGUGGAGCUGACGAAUACUAAUCGGUCGAGGGCUUAUCCGU